GUCCAAACACGGGACUAUGAGGACGUGAACGAAGAAGGUCUGCUGGAGUAGAGGAACUGAAAUUGACAAGACGCACGGGGACUCCGGGAUGAGUCUGCCGAUAGCGUAUGUAAGGUCAGUGCCCUAAAGAAGUACUGGGGGCAGUGCUUUAAAGAAGUACUGGGAAGGGGAAGUUUUCUGAAUCAGGUUAACAAGGGGAAGAAUUUGUCUACUGAAGAAAAACAUUAUGUGCACUUGCUUAAGUUUCUGUUGAGACAGUCUGGAGCUCAGGUUAAUUCGCAGGCACUAACUAACCUCCUGCAGAAGCCACAAAUGGUUAUUCACGCAUCACCCAUGGUUUCCACAGGCAGGCACUCUUGAUGCGGAAAAUUGGGACAGAGCAGGAGAAGGAUUAAAACAGGCUCAUCAAAAAGGUUUUAAAGUUGAUUCUUCAGUUUUCUCCACUUGGAGUUUAGUUCAUACUGUACUUCUGCCAUUAGCUCCUUAUUAUUCUGCGGGACAGCAGGCUGAGUCUAAAAAUCUGAAAGAAUCUGUUGUCCCACCCACAGCGCCAACUGAAAAUAAAAAACAGGUGAGGGAGGAUAAAAAUUGGCCUAUACCGCCUCCUCCAAUCGCAGAAACAUCUGUACUGCCUCCUUCAGUAGCAGAAAUAGAGACCCCAAAACAAACAACUUUAUGCUCUGCUGCCAUAGCUGGAGAGCCCUUAGGACCUUGCACUUUUCCUAUUUCCGUAAGGCCCGAUUCAAAUAAUCCACAGCAGUUUAUUCAUGAACACACCCCACUAGAAUUUAAGUUGUUGAAGGAAUUAAAAACUAGUGUGGUCAAUAAUGGAGUACAUAAGCCCAUGGUUCCCGGAAGAAGGAACGCUAGGCUUAGAACUCUGGGAAUGAGUGGGGAGAAAUCUUGAACAACAUCAGGUGCAAAGGCAUCAGGUCCCAGUAAAAUCUUUAACGUUAUGGGCUUUAAUUAGAGCAGUCCUGGCUCAGUUUACACACAGAAGAGCCUAAAAAGAGGAAGGAGGAGAAAACGUCACCUGCCUUAUCACCUUCUCUUCCCUCAGCCCCAAUAUCACUGGGCCAAAAAUAACAAAGAGGAAACAGAGGUCUUACCUAAGCCUCCUCCUCCAAUAGAUAGGAAAAAGGACAGAGGAUACGCUACAGCUAUCAGUCCCUGUCUUGAGCAGGCAGCAUUAGAAGGAGAGCUCUUAACCUGCUCAGUAAUGCAAAAUCGGCAAGGCAAGCAGGUGUAUGUCUGUAAAAAGAUAAGAAAGGCCGGGCGAGGUUACUCUGUUUAUUUAUUAAAGA
rnacentral:lncRNA from 10 species